GACAGAGGGGGCAAGCGUUGCUCGGAAUUACUGGGCGUAAAGGGCGCGUAGGCGGGAUGGCAAGUCGGUCGUGAAAUCCCUCGGCUCAACCGAGGAACGUCGAUCGAUACUGCUGUUCUUGAGGAUUGCAGAGGAGACUGGAAUUCCCGGUGUAGCGGUGAAAUGUGUAGAGAUCGGGAGGAACACCGGUGGCGAAGGCGGGUCUCUGGGCAGUUGCUGACACUGAGGCGCGACAGCGUGGAGAGCAAACAGG
rnacentral:rRNA from 1 species